rnacentral:other from 1 species
CAUCUCCUGCAGUGUUCGAUAGAGGUCUAGACUCUCGACCCUAAUUAUUUUACUUAGGGGUCACUGCCUGUCAGUUGCAUGUGUGCAAAGCUGUUAUAACAGUUAGCCUUUUGUAACUACGGUUUUCCCCACCUUAUGCUCUGGUUCGAGAGCAUAGGUCUCAACGGCACAAGUGGGAGAUGC